rnacentral:rRNA from 1 species
AUUGAACGCUGGCGGAAUGCUUUACACAUGCAAGUCGGACGAGUGGCGAACGGGUGAGUAACGCAUCGGAACGUACCGAGUCAGGGGGGAUAACUGUCCGAAAGGACCGCUAAUACCGCAUACUCUUCGAGCGGCCGAUGUCGGAUUAGCUGGUUGGCGGGGUAAAGGCCAACCAAGGCGACGAUCAGUAGCGGGUCUGAGAGGAUGAUCCGCCACACUGGGACUUGGACACGGCCCAGACUCCUACGGGAGGCAGCAGUGGGGAAGUUUGGACAAUGGGCGCAAGCCUGAUCCAGCCAUGCCGCGGGUCUGAAGAAGGCCUUCGGGUUGUAAUGGACUUUUGUCAGGGAAGCGGUACCUGAAGAAUAAGCACCGGCUAACUACGUGCCAGCAGCCGCGGUAAUAC